rnacentral:rRNA from 1 species
CCGCCCGUCACACCAUGGGAGCUUGCUGCACCAGAAGCAGGUAGCCUAACCGCAAGGGGGGCGCUUGCCACGGUGUGGCCGAUGACUGGGGUG